rnacentral:rRNA from 1 species
UCUGGUUGAUCCUGCCAGUAGUUACUAUGCUUGUCUUCAAAGAUAAGCCAUGCAUGUCUAAGUACACACGAAUUAAAGUGAAAACCGCAAAAGGCUCAUAUAUCAGUUAUGGUUCCUUAGAUCAGUUAACAGUUUACUUGGAUAACUGUGGUAUGUCUAGAGGCUAAUAACAUGCCAAAAUUAAAACAUGAACCUUAAAUGGGACACUGUUCGCUUAUUAUUAGGCUAAAACCAAAGCGAUCGCAAGAUCGUAUUUGGUAUAUGAGACUCUAGAUAACAUGCAGAUCGUAUGGUCUUGUACCGCGAGCAGAUCUUUCAAAUGGUCUGCCCUAUCAACUUUUGAUGGUAGUACUAGGACUACCAUGGUUUGGCAACGGGUACGGGGAAUCAGGGUUCGAUCGCGGAAAGAAUGGGAGCCUGAUAAACGGCUACCACAUCUACAGGAAGCAGCAGCGCGUAAAUUAACCCACUCCCAGCUCGGGGAGGUAGUGACGAAAAAUAAGCAAAUACUGGACUCAUAUCCGAGGCCCUGUAAUUGGAAUGAGUAACUUUAAAUUCCUUUAUAACAAAGGAACUCAAUUGGAGGGCAAGUCUGGUGCCAGCAAGCGCGGUUAAUUCAGCUCCAAUAGCGUAUAUAAAGUUGUUGCGGUUAAAACGUUCGUAAGUAUGAACGUGUGCUAUCAUACGGGUAGUACAACUUACAAUUGUGGUUAGUUACUAUACCCUUUAUGUAUGUAAGAGUAUUACCGGUGGAGUUCUUAUAAUGUGAUUAAAUACUUGUAUUUUUACAAAUAUGUUCCUCCUAUUAAAACCUUGCAUUAUGCUCUUAAACGAAGUGUUAUUGUGGGCCGUAGCUAUUCACUUUGAAACAAAUUAGAGUGCUUAAAGCAGGCUUUCAUGCCUGAAUUCUGUGCUGGGAUAAUGAAAAGACCUCUGUUCUGCUUCCAUUGGUUUUCAGAUCAAGGGUGAAUGAUUUAAUAGAAGCAGUUUGGGGCUUAUUAGUAUAUCAGACGCGAGGUUGAAAUUCUAUGGACCGUCGUAAGACUAACUUAAAGCGAAAGCAUUUGCACAAAGGAGUUUUCAUUAAAAUCAAGAAACGAAAAGUUUAGAGGUUCGAAGGCGAUCAGAUAACCGCCUAGUUCUAACCAAUGAAACGAUGCUCCAGCUUAGCAUUGGGUGUAGCUACUUUUAAAUGGCUCUGCUCAGUGCGCUUCCGGGAAACCAAAGCUUUUGGCAUCCGGGGGAAGUAUGGUGUGCAAAGCUGAAACUUAAAGGAAUUGACGGAAGGGCCCACCAGGAGUGGAGCCUGCGCUUAAUUUGACUCAACACGGGAAAACUUAACCGAGGUCGCGAACAUAAGUGUGUAAGACAGAAUUGAUAGCUCUUUCUCGAAUCUAUGGGUGGUGGUGCAGUGGGGCUUCUUAGUCUGGAGGUGAUUUUGUCCUGGGUUAAUGUUCCGAGUAAAGCGUAAAGCGUAGGUACUGUCAAUAGAGUAGUAAAUAGAUAUCUUCAGGAUUAGGUGCUGGAAGCUUAUGUAGCUUCAUUUUCAUGUUGGCAGUAAAAUGUUAUUGUGUUGAAUGUGUUAUGUAAGUGGAGCCGUACAUUUGGUUUGUCCCAUUAUAAGGACAACUAGCUUCUUAAAUGGACAAUGCGUCAGCAAUAAUGGAGAAUUGAGCAAUAACAGUCUGUGAUGCCCUUAGAUGUUCCUGGGCUUGCACGCUGCGCUACAAGAAGUAUCAACGUGUAUUUCCCUAGACCGAGAGGUCCGGGUAAUCCGCUGAACCACUUUCAAUGCUUUGGGAAUUGGUGAACUGAAAACUGUUCAGCAUGAAACUUGGAAUUUCCCAGUAAAGUGUGGAGUCAUUUAACUCGCAUUGAUUAACGUCCCUUGCCCUUUGUAACACACCAGCCCGUCAGCUAACUACCGAUGAUUAUUUAGUGAGGUCUCCGACGUGAUCAACUGACGAUGUAGUGACGCCUUGCUGUACGGUUGUUUCGCAAAAGUUGACCGAACUUGGAUUAUUUAGAGGAAGUAAAGAGUCGUACAAGGUAUUCGCUAUGGUGAAACUGCGAGAAG